AUUGAACGCUGGCGGCAGGCUUAACACAUGCGAGUCGAGCGGAGAUGAGGUGCUUGCACCUUAUCUUAGCGGCGGACGGGUGAGUAAUGCUUAGGAAUCUGCCUAUUAGUGGGGGACAACAUUCCGAAAGGAAUGCUAAUACCGCAUACGUCCUACGGGAGAAAGCAGGGGAUCUUCGGACCUUGCGCUAAUAGAUGAGCCUAAGUCGGAUUAGCUAGUUGGUGGGGUAAGGCCUACCAAGGCGACGAUCUGUAGCGGGUCUGAGAGGAGGAUCCGCCACACUGGGACCGAGACACGGCCCAGACUCCUACGGGAGGCAGCAGUGGGGAAUAUUGGACAAUGGGGGGAACCCUGAUCCAGCCAUGCCGCGUGUGUGAAGAAGGCCUUAUGGUUGUAAAGCACUUUAAGCGAGGAGGAGGCUACUGAGACUAAUACUCUUGGAUAGUGGACGUUACUCGCAGAAUAAGCACCGGCUAACUCUGUGCCAGCAGCCGCGGUAACAC
rnacentral:rRNA from 1 species